UAAACUGGCCAUAAUUUUACGCGCAAAGUUUGACAUAAGACGAAAACAUAAUUUCUCGCCAUUGAGAACAACUGCAUGCACAGAGAUAUUGAUUGAGAGCACGCGUCAAAUAUCAUUUUAUUUAUUCCAGAGAUAGGUGUUGUUACUUAUUGAGACACUUGGUAUGAAACAACCCAUGCACGCACAAGCAUGGUUUUAUAGCAGGCUCGCUAGCUAGGAAAAUAUUAGAAUCAAAAGUUGCCUCCAAUUCCCCCACCAGCACCACCACCAAAACCUCCACCACCUCCUUUGCCUCCUCCAAUGCCACCACCAGCACCAACACCUCCACCAAAUCCUCCUCCACCUCCUGCACCACCACCAGCUCCACCUCCUAUGUCGCCACCUUUUCCACCCCCAGCACCACCUCCUACGCCACCUCCAGCUCCACCUCCUAUACCACCACCUUUUCCACCCCCAAUGCCACCACCAGCACCUCCUCCAGCUCCACCUCCUACGCCACCACCAGCUCCACCUCCUAUACCACUACCUUUUCCACCACCAAUACCCCCACCAGUGCCUCCUCCGGCCCCACUUCCUAGUCCACCACCUUUUCCACCUCCAAUGCCACCACCAGCACCCCCACCAGCGCCCCCACCGCCUCCUAUUCCACCACCUUUUCCGCCUCCAAUGCCACCACCGGCGCCCCCGCCUAAACCACCACCAUGUCCACCUCCAGCACCAUCACCGCCUCCAAGACCUCCACCUGCUCCUGCACCACCCCCACCACCAAAACCACCUCCAAUGCCUUUAGAAAAUUCAUCUUCCUCAAGUUUCCUACAUUCCGAAAUUCCUAUGACCAACGCAAAGAACACAACCAUCACACCAACAGACUUAAAUAUUAGUUUCCCCAUAUUUCUAAAAGAGUCGAAGAAAGACACAAAUGCUUGCUUUGUGAUGCUAAGCUUCAAAGGCUUAGUGCUCUAUUUAUAGAGUAACCAAGUGGCACACUUUAUUGCGUGUACUAAUCUUACUUAAUGAAAUGUCCCAAAAUUCAACUCAGUUUGAAUAGAAUCGUCAAUUGCCGGUGAAAUAAUAGUGAAGCUGUCACCAUUACUCAACUACUAACCUAAUGCAUGUCUCCACUCACCACCGUCACAAGUAAUUUACAAUUAAACCAUAUAUUUCUGACCACUAAGAUUAUCAACUAAGAUUAUCAGAAGAAAAGCUCAAUUAAGAGAUUUGGAAAUAUGAUGGCAUGGUAUCAAAUCAAAUGGACCGCACUAUAUAUUAGCAAGAAGUUGAUUCCAGUUUAGGAAACCAAAAAUGUAAUUGAUUCGAGUGGUGCUACCGAUUUAGUGUAAGCUUGUUAGCUUUGGUAUUUGUACUUUAUCAAAAAAAAAAACAAAAAAACUUUGGUAUUUGUACUUUGGGCUUUAGCCUUAUGCUACAGGAAUUUGAUAGUAUCUUCCAAAAUGAAGCUACUUUUUACGCAUCACAUUCACAUUUACCAGCUCUUAAUAAUGAAAGAAUGAUAUUGGAUUUUGUAAGUAAUAUCUCAAAUUUUUAUCUCGAAUAUUGAUGUGGCACUCAUUUAUUAUAUAAAAUAAUAAAUUUCAGUACUUGUAAAAUUAUUAAUCAUUCUACUUACAUUAUUCAAUAUCAUACUAAUAAAUGAAUGUCGUUUCAUUUCAAACUAAACAAUACUACUCAAGAAGUGUUGAAUUACUUAUUAUAAAAAUCUCCAUAUUAACCAUUUUUUUUGCCAGCAUGGAAGGAGUGGAAAGGGGAAGCAUCUAUACAUUUAUCAUUGAUCAUAAUUUAAUACUUUUAACAUAUUUUUUCUUUUUAAAAAAAAUUAUUUUCGGCCAUAUAUAUAUAGUCGUUCAAAAUUUCCAUAGGCCGCCAAUGGGUUCAUAGUCCAUUGACAUCCUGUUCUUGAGCGCAUGGAUUCCAGUACUAGUAAUGACUCGGACACGACUCUCAUCUCAAUAAGGAUCUAUUUGUCUCUCUUCUUAGUGGGGAUCUACCUUAUUGUAAUGCAUCAGCAUAAAAAAAAAAAAAAAAAUUCCUUGCUCCACUACAUCUUUGGUGUCCUAUGCAUCAUAGAAUUGAUUGUUCUCCAUAAGCAAAACCCAGAUCACUUUUAUUCCUAGAACCAAUCUCAUAAACACUAUUCACGAUUUCACAUCACCAUCAAAAUUACCAUCAGAUCCUUGCUUUUCAACCCUUGCGGCUGCAGCUCCAGCGUUAGUCAAACUGCCGCCACUAAUCCUUGCACUGUCCCCUAACGUUUCUGCAAUAAUACUAGUUGCAUGUGGAUGAUAAAUCAUAUUUUAGAGCUUCCGGCAUUGGCUGUCCCAAUCGUCAGUACAAACAUUAAAGUCACCAAGCUAACACGUACAUUGUGAGAAUUUUGCCGUCUUUCUAUUUUAUUCAAGCAAAAGAUCGAUCGAAAGGAAGAAAAGAAAGCUUGUUUUAUGGCAUUGGCAGGCUCAGUGGGAAGCCCUAUUUGUAGCUUAUGAAAUAGUAGAAAAUGUUAAUGCAAUUUGUUCAUGUUUGUUCGUCAGAUGUUACUGUCAUCGAUCAGGAGUACGUAAACGUAAUAAAUUUUAAUUCCGAAUUAAAAAUUUUGAAAAGAUUUAAGCUCAAUAAUUUUGAGACGUGUACAUUUGCACGAUAGAGAUAUAUAAGAAAUCCUUUUUUUUUUGGGUGGCGCAAUUGAUCCACUUAAAUUUACUGUUUAUAUGUCCAAAAUCUGAAACACAAUUAUAAUUGAUUUGAGAAGUUAUCUUGGAUCCAAUACACUAACAAUCAUCAAUCACGUAAGUGAUUGUCAAACAAAAUUUGAGAAUGGAUUCUCAUAAAAAAAAAGGUGAUAAUCAGAAUAUCACCUUGGUUCUUUUUUUACUUUCACAUGCAAAUAGUGAGAAAGGGAAUGGAACUUUCUAUUUCACUAUUCAUAAAUAUUUAUUCCUAGUGGGAGAUCUUAUUCAUAUAUUUAUGCUAUCAUUAGUUACUGAAUUCUAGAAAAUUAGGAAAUCGCCCACAAUUGUAUAUAUCCCCAUGCCACCACAUCUUGGGAGCCCUAAUUAGUACCUCCAUCAUUAAUAAUAUUACCACUGGCAGAUCCUACACUCUCAUCACCAUGCAUCCAAACCAACUUGAUGUUCUACUUUUGUAGCUGCAACACCAACGCCAACAUUAAUCACAGUGCCCUUUUUAAAUCCUCCGUCGUGUGAUUUGAAGCUGCGCGCGGCCAGCACUUGUUUUUUUGUCCAAAUCUAUCUUCGAAGCCGCCUUCAGAAGUUUCGUUUUUUUCUCAAUUUGCUUCCGGCAUUGAGCUAUCCCUAGAAUCAAUGUUAAUAGAAACGUCACAGCUAACACGCCGAUGUACUUGCAAUGUUUUCUCAUGUUUUAAAAAGACAACACACAGAAUGAGCAAUAGAUGUGAUUAUGUUCUUGCUUGGUGUUACAACGCUCGGACCGGUGACACUUAUUUAUAGUGCAAGAGUAAUGGAAUUAAAUUAAUGCAUUCAGUUGAAGAUGUUUCUAUGACAGAAAUUUCUAUAAUGCGGUGUUUAAAAUUAUGUUGUCAAUGACAUAACAAACAUAAAUUUUGUAUAAGAUUAGUAAAUAGAAGGUAAAACAAGUAAAUUAAUAUAAGAGUGGUAAAUAUGUGUUUUAAAAUAACAAACAAAAUAAACAAUUAUAAAAAUAAUACAAAAUUUGUAAAUCAACAUUAAAAUUUAAUUAAAAAUAUUUUAUUCAUUUAAUUUAAUUAACCAAAGAAAAAAAUUCACUCAUCAAUUUGAAAAUAAAAAAAAAUUGUAUUGAGAACAAUUGGAAUAAGGAUUGAAUUUUAUUGAAUUAGUAUAACCAUGAGUUCUAUAUUCAUCCUAGGACAUUUAUAAUUUUUUUUAUCAUAGUAUUUGUUUAUUAUGAAAAAUUAUUUUUCUUGAUGUGGAUCAAGCCAAAAACAAAAAGAUAUUCAUAUAUUAGUAGACAUAUAUGAUAUAUGAUGUAGGAUGUUAUGUGUCGCGAGUAGAGUACUUUUCAGAGGCCAUAACUUGGACUACAUGUGUCUGUUUUUGGCAUAUAAUAUAUUAUUUCGAAGCUUACGACGAGACGAACAAAAUUCAAAACUGCCUAAGUCGUUCUGCCCUGUGGUCAAGCUGGAAAUUCUACUUCUUUCCUGGUCAUUUUAUAGUUUUAAGAUUUUUCCCUAUUUUUUCUAUUUUUUCUUGGAUUUUUAUCUUCUCUUUAGAAUUCGAAUUUGAGUGUCAUUUGUUUUUCUUUUCUUAUUUUGAUUAGAAAAUUUUAAUUAUUAUAUUAUAUUUCGGAUUUUCUUAUUUUGGUACAUUCACGAUAAUUAGGCUUAUUAUAAAAGAGGCUCAAAACUCUAAUAUUAUUCAAUCAAACUUUCAACAAGAUUUACCAUUAUUCAGAAACCUAGUUUCUUUUAUCAGCAAACUCAACAACGUUUGUGUUUUGUCAAUAUAUUUAUAACAUUGGAUAUAUUUUUGAGUUUUAUACAUAUUUCAUGUAGUUUCAAAAUUUGCUUUUGACUAUACUUAGGGUGCGUUUGGAAUUGAGGUGUUAUAGCUUUUAAGAUAUAGCUACUGUGGAAAAAAAUUGUAACUAUGAAAUAAAAGUUAAUAAUAUGUAAUAAAUAUAAAUUUUGAAUAAUAUGUUAGUCUAAAGGGCUACACAUAUUGUAAUUUUGAUGAUAACAAACAUAUGUAUUAAGUGAUUUAAUAAAUAUUAUAUUUCACAUUUUCAUUAGUUUUUGAAGGGUAAUAUUUAUACAAGUGAAUCAAGUGAAAUCAAGCUCAAGACACUCAACGGACAACGACGAAAUCAAGAAUAAAGUUUAGAGCUCAACGGAUAAAUUAGUGUGAUAAAUUCUUGUAAAGCCGGUAUGAUUAAAUUGAUGCAUGAUUUAGCAUUUGAGAAGCUCAAGAGAUUAAUUUAAUUAAUCACUUUUUAUAAACUAAAAGGUUUUAUUUUUAUAAGAUAAAGCACCUUGUGGUUUUGAGUAAUUUGGACUUAAAUGCUAAGUUUUAAAAUCUUUGAUUUUAAUAAGUAUUAUUAUUAAAUUUCGGAGUUGGACAUUUUUACAAACAUUUGAAAUGUUUUGGGUCAUACUAUAAUUUAUUAAUAGUUUAGACUAAAGUGAAAGGUUUCGAGAACUUUGAUAAAUAUGGGUAUUAUGUUGAAAAGGACUUUUUUGUGAAAUAAUAAUAUAUUUGGGGCCAUGUCAUAAUUUCAGAAAGUUUUGAGCUGACAAUCAUUAUUAAGAAAUUUUGAAAUUGGACCUAUUUAUAAAGUUUUAUAACAUUUAGGCCAUAGUAUAAUUAUAUAAAGUUUUGGGCUAAAGUGUAAUUUUAAUGAACAAUGUUACUAUAGCAAAAUUCAAAAAUAACGGUAAUAUCACUGUUCAUGAGUGGCUAGUUGGAUAAAUCAAGCGGCUAACCGCUUGGGCGCUGGAAUUUACCUAUAACGGCUAACCGUUUGGGAGCUGGAAUUUACCUAUAACGGCUAGUUUUCGGACUUUAACUAUAAAAACUCAACUCUAACUUCAUUUUAAGAACUAAUACAAGGAAAAACAACGUCAUAUAACAUAUAUUGAGCUUCCAUUUCGUAAAUCAUCAUUUGUUGAAUCAUCGUUGAGCUAUAAUUUGUUAUCUACUCUUAAAGAGAGUUUCAUUGUUGUGAUUUUCAUUUCUCAUCAAAUUGUGAGUGUAUAAGUGUGAGAAACACUUGGGGUGAAGAGAUUGGGGAGAUAAUCUCUUGUUGUAAAGGUCCAUUGACAUCUUGGAAGUCAAUUGUAAACAUUUGAAGCAUUGUGAGGCUUGGAUAGUGAAAUCCUCAAGCCGGGUGUGCUUGAAGGCGUGGACGUAGGCAGGGAUAGUCGAACCACGUAAAAAUCUUUGUGUUUGUUUUCUCUUCCUUUACUCUUUUAAUAUUGUGCUUGAUUGAAUUUAUUAUUUUUUAUUUGAUUAAGGCAAUAGAUUAAAUUGUUGUGUGAAUUAUAUUGCAUAAUUUUAAAAUCCCAAUUCACCCCCCCUCUUGGGUUGCAUAACUUGCAUUUCAUAAUAAUUUUGAUAAAAUUAUUAAAGAUAUAAUAUAUUUUUCAUCAUAUAAGUGAAAACCCAUAUUAAUAUAGCUUCCAAGCUACAAAAGCUAGUAUUUACCAAAUACUUUAGUGCUGUAACUUUUAAACUACAGCUGCCCAACCUCAAUCCUAAACGCACCCUUAAAGAUUAUUUGAUGUUGUUUAAGGAGCUUCAAAAUGAUAAAAAACAUGAAAAGUAUCAUUUUUUAAAAAUCUAAUUUUGAGAUAAAUUUUAUCCUUAACAAAUCAUCACAUAAAUUACAUAAACUCAAAAUUAUCAUUAUUCAAUUUAGAUAUAAAAUCAGAAAAUAUAUAAGGUAAUUAUUAUUAUAAUGAGUUUUUAAUUUGUAUUUGUAGGUUUUUAUUUUUAUCAAUAACUCUUAUAUUAAUUUAUUUGUUUUACCUUCUAUUUACGAGUCGUGUGUUUUAUUUAUAUAAUUUUUGUUUUAUUUUUUAUUUAAUGUUGAUUUACAAGUUUUAUAUUAUAUAUGUAAGUUUUUGUUUUGUUUACUAAUGAUACACUAAUUUACCACUCUUAUAUUAAUCUACUUGUUUUAUCUUCCAUUUAUAAUUCUUAUAUUUCAUUUACCUAAUUUAUAUUUUAUUUUACACUUAUUAUUGAUUAACAAGUUUUAUGUUAGAUUUGCCCUUUGUUUUGUUUGCCAUUGAUACACCAAUUUGACACUCAUACGUUACUUUAGUUUUUUUUAAUCUUCCAUUUACAUCAUUUAUAGUUUAUUUACACUUAAUAUUGAUUUAAAAAUUUUAUAUUAUAUCUGUAAUUUUUUUGUUUACUAAUAAUACAUCAAUUUACCAAUAUUAUUACGUUGAUUUUAUUUAUCUUACCUUCCAUUUACAGGUCUUGUGUUUUAUUUACAUAAUUUAUAUUUUUAUUUUACACUUGAUUUACACAUUUUAUGUUACAUUUGUAAGUUUUUGUUUUAUUUAUAAAUAAUAUACCAAUUUGCCACUCCUAUGUUAGUUUACUUAUUUUACCUUCCACUUAAAACUCUUAUGUACCAUUUACAUAAUUUAUGUUUUAAUUUAUAUUUAAUAUUGAUUUAUAAGUUUUAUAUUAAAUUUACAUGUCUUAUGAUUCAUUAAUAAUUAAUGUUUGAUUAUGGUAUUAAUGCCAUGAUUUUGAUUACGACAUCAUAAACUGAGAUAAAAUUAGGUUUUACUUUAAGUUAACAUGAAAGUGGCAUGUGGUUUUUUCCCCAAAAAAAUAAAAAUUAAAUGGUUGGAUUGGUAUUUAUUAGAUUUGAACACAUAAGUCCAUAAUUAAUCCAAUAACAUUGGAUUUUCCGUUUUGCAAUCCAAUACAAAAAAUGGUUUGGUUUCGAUUAGAUCUAUUAGUUUGAUUGGAUUGAAUUAAAUCUUAAAUACCUCUAAUUUGUUCAACAUCAAUUUGUUUCAUUUGAAUUUAUGGAUACGCGGGCUCAAUUUGAUCUUUAAUAGAUCUCUUCAUACCGGACCUAUUGAUAAUAUACAUGAUCUAUCCGAAUAAUAUUGGUUCUUUUUAAUUUCUUCUUCUCGUAACUUUUAUUAAAAAAAAAAAACUACAAUCCUCUAGACUUUGCUAUAUACAGAGGUUAAUUAAAAAAAAAAGGUCUUAAAAAAUUUUAUAAAUUAAGUUUCACUUUCAAUGGAUUAGAAAUUUUGAACUUGGGAUGCAUAGAUGCAGCUGAUCAUCUUUAUUCCAUGCAGACAAGAGAAAAUGCAUGGAUCCACGCACGCGCAGCACAAAAAUUAUAUCGAUAUACAAGAAAACAUGCAUGCAAAUGCAAAAUGAUCAUGUGCAAAAACUCGGACGCGAGAGUCACGACCUCUUGGCUAAACUGGCCAUAUAUAAUUUUACGAGCAAAGUUUGAAAUAAGAUGAAAACAUAAUUUCUCGCAAUAAACCUACCAUUGAGAACAACUGCAGGUAUAGAGACAUUGAUUAAGAGCAUACGUUAAAUAUCAUUUUAUUUAUUCUAGAGAUAGAUGCUGUUACUUGUGAGAUACUUGAUUUUCUCGCUACAUAUCUAUGAAACAGCCCAUGCACGCACAAGCACGGUUUUAUAGCAAGCUCGCUAGCUAGGAAAAUAUUAGAAUCAAAAGUUGCCUCCAAUUCCCCCACCAGCACCACCACCAAAACCUCCACCACCUCCUUUGCCUCCUCCACUGCCACCACCACCAGCACCACCACCUCCACCAAAUCCUCCUCCACCUCCUGCACCACCACCAAUGCCACCCCCAGCACCACCUCCAGCUCCACCUCCUAUGCCGCCACCUUUACCACCCCCAAUGCCACCACCAGCACCUCCUCCUAUACCACCACCAGCACCGCCGCCAACUCCACCUCCUAUACCACCACCUUUUCCACCCCCAAUGCCACCACCAACUCCUCCACCAUGUCCACCACCAAUACCCCCACCAGUGCCUCCUCCGGCCCCACCACCUUUUCCACCUCCAAUGCCACCACCAUGUCCACCUCCGGCACCACCACCAUGUCCACCUCCAGCACCACCACCAUGUCCACCUCCAGCACCACCACCAUGUCCACCUCCAGCACCACCACCAUGUCCACCUCCAGCACCACCACCAUGUCCACCUCCAGCACCACCACCAAAUCCUCCACCAGCACCACCACCACCAAGACCUCCUCCUCCUCCUGCACCACCCCCACCACCAAAACCACCUCCAGUGCCUUUAGCAAAUUCAUCUUCCUCAAGUUUCCUACAUUCCGAAAUUCCUAUGACCAACACAAAGAACACAACCAUCACACCAACAGACUUAAAUAUUAGUUUCCCCAUAUUUCUAAAAG
rnacentral:lncRNA from 1 species